ACACGGUCCAGACUCCUACGGGAGGCAGCAGUGGGGAAUAUUGGACAAUGGGCGAAAGCCUGAUCCAGCCAUGCCGCGUGUGUGAAGAAGGUCUUCGGAUUGUAAAGCACUUUAAGUUGGGAGGAAGGGCAGUUACCUAAUACGUAAUUGUUUUGACGUUACCGACAGAAUAAGCACCGGCUAACUCUGUGCCAGCAGCCGCGGUAAUACAGAGGGUGCAAGCGUUAAUCGGAAUUACUGGGCGUAAAGCGCGCGUAGGUGGUUCGUUAAGUUGGAUGUGAAAUCCCCGGGCUCAACCUGGGAGCUGCAUUCAAAACUGUCGAGCUAGAGUAUGGUAGAGGGUGGUGGAAUUUCCUGUGUAGCGGUGAAAUGCGUAGAUAUANGAAGGAACACCAGUGGCGAAGGCGACCACCUGGACUGAUACUGACACUGAGGUGCGAA
rnacentral:rRNA from 1 species